rnacentral:rRNA from 1 species
GACGAACGCUGGCGGCGUGCCUAAUACAUGCAAGUAGAACGCUGAAGCGAGGAGCUUGCUCUUCUUGGAUGAGUUGCGAACGGGUGAGUAACGCGUAGGUAACCUGCCUUGUAGCGGGGGAUAACUAUUGGAAACGAUAGCUAAUACCGCAUAACAAUGGAUGACACAUGUCAUUUAUUUGAAAGGGGCAAUUGCUCCACUACAAGAUGGACCUGCGUUGUAUUAGCUAGUAGGUGAGGUAAUGGCUCACCUAGGCGACGAUACAUAGCCGACCUGAGAGGGUGAUCGGCCACACUGGGACUGAGACACGGCCCAGACUCCUACGGGAGGCAGCAGUAGGGAAUCUUCGGCAAUGGGGGCAACCCUGACCGAGCAACGCCGCGUGAGGGAAGAAGGUUGUCGGAUCGUAAAGCUCUGUUGUAAGUCAAGAACGGGUGUGAGAGUGGAAAGUUCACACUGUGACGGUAGCUGACCAGAAAGGGACGGCUAACUACGUG